rnacentral:rRNA from 1 species
GACGAACGCUGGCGGCGUGCUUAACACACGCAAGUCGAACGAUGAACCCGGAGCUUGCUCCGGUGGAUUAGUGGCGAACGGGUGAGUAACACGUGAGUAACCUGCCCUUGACUCUGGGAUAACUGCGGGAAACUGUAGCUAAUACCGGAUACGACCCUCGGCGGCAUCGCCAGGGGGUGGAAAGAAUUUCGGGCAAGGAUGGACUCGCGGCCUAUCAGCUAGUUGGUGAGGUAACGGCUCACCAAGGCGACGACGGGUAGCCGGCCUGAGAGGGUGACCGGCCACACUGGGACUGAGACACGGCCCAGACUCCUACGGGAGGCAGCAGUGGGGAAUAUUGCACAAUGGGCGCAAGACUGAUGCAGCAACGCCGCGUGAGGGAUGACGGCCUUCGGGUUGUAAACCUCUUUUAGUAGGGAAGAAGCGAAAGUGACGGUACCUGCAGAAAAAGCACCGGCUAACUACGUGCCAGCCGCCGCGGUAA